GGCGGGCGGCAGCCUACCAUGCGAGUCGAGCGGUAACAGAGAGUAAGUUGCUACUUUGCUGACGAGCGGCGGACGGGAGAGUAAUGCUUGGGAACAUGCCUUGAGGUGGGGGACAACAGUUGGAAACGACUGCUAAUACCGCAUAAUGUCUACGGACCAAAGGGGGCUUCGGCUCUCGCCUUUAGAUUGGCCCAAGUGGGAUUAGCUAGUUGGUGAGGUAAUGGCUCACCAAGGCGACGAUCCCUAGCUGGUUUGAGAGGAUGAUCAGCCACACUGGGACUGAGACACGGCCCAGACUCCUACGGGAGGCAGCAGUGGGGAAUAUUGCACAAUGGGCGCAAGCCUGAUGCAGCCAUGCCGCGUGUGUGAAGAAGGCCUUCGGGUUGUAAAGCACUUUCAGUCAGGAGGAAAGGUUAACGGUUAAUACCCGUUAGCUGUGACGUUACUGACAGAAGAAGCACCGGCUAACUCCGUGCCAGCAGCCGCGGUAAUACGGAGGGUGCGAGCGUUAAUCGGAAUUACUGGGCGUAAAGCGUACGCAGGCGGUUUGUUAAGCGAGAUGUGAAAGCCCCGGGCUCAACCUGGGAACUGCAUUUCGAACUGGCAAACUAGAGUGUGAUAGAGGGUGGUAGAAUUUCAGGUGUAGCGGUGAAAUGCGUAGAGAUCUGAAGGAAUACCGAUGGCGAAGGCAGCCACCUGGGUCAACACUGACGCUCAUGUACGAAAGCGUGGGGAGCAAACGGGAUUAGAUACCCCGGUAGUCCACGCCGUAAACGAUGUCUACUAGAAGCUCGGAGCCUCGGUUCUGUUUUUCAAAGCUAACGCAUUAAGUAGACCGCCUGGGGAGUACGGCCGCAAGGUUAAAACUCAAAUGAAUUGACGGGGGCCCGCACAAGCGGUGGAGCAUGUGGUUUAAUUCGAUGCAACGCGAAGAACCUUACCUACACUUGACAUACAGAGAACUUACCAGAGAUGGUUUGGUGCUUCGGGAACUCUGAUACAGGUGCUGCAUGGCUGUCGUCAGCUCGUGUUGUGAGAAUGUUGGGUUAAGUCCCGCAACGAGCGCACCCCUAUCCUUAGU
rnacentral:rRNA from 1 species